ensembl:lncRNA novel transcript
GGGCUGCAACCUGACUUAACAGGAGCGGAGCGCAAGUCGGCCUAGCCAAUGCGCAUGCGCGGUGCACGAGCUGAUUUCUCAAGGCACAGUGACUCCCACCGUCGCUCGAGUGAUGGGUCCAUGAGGCUGGGCGAAGCAGGAGCCCACUGUGGCAGUGCGUCGGUAUCGAGGCUCCAGCCUGACCUCUCCCAGGGGUCAACAGGAUGGUCUCCGGACGCCAGGAGUCGCGGAGGGCCGACCAGGUUUGUGAAGGCCGGUUCGACCUGGGGAGCUGCGUUGGUCCCACAGGGAUUGAAACCUCCCCAUCCUGAGCGUCCUACUUUCGAGGAUCAAGACAACCACACCACACCCAAGGACCAAAGCCUCCCAGGAGCUUAUUGUCCUGCAGGAGUGCGUGCAGACCAACAUCAAAGAAGAUGGUUCUAACUCCUCCCACCUCCCACCUUCUCCUCUCAUUAAGAAAUGUAGCCCCACCGCGACAGUCUUGGAGAAGAAGCCGGGAACGGGACGCGGCAAGGAUCUCUGUGACUUAAAUCUGGCCUUUCUGGCCCAGUCUCCCAUUUGGCACUUCUUCCUGGAUGCGCAUGGUAGUGGCAUUGUGCUGUAUCCUGCCUGGGCUGUGGCCUCUGCUCUGUACUCCCUCUUGCUCUAUCUGCCAUAGGAGCCUAGAGGCUUGGUCUGGCUUAAAGUCUUCAACAAAGAACACUUUGGAGUCCGUGAGGGAGAAAUUUCGUGGAGAUCCGUUUCACAGUUGUUUCCCUCUCCAAACCUAUUUCUGGUCGAUUAGGCAGAGUCUCGCUGUGUCACCCAGGCCGGAGUGCAGUGGUGCGAUGCACCAUCUCGGCUCUCGGCACGCUGCAACCUUCGCAACCUCUGCCUCCCGGGUUCAGUCGAUUCUCUUGACUCAGCCUCCUGCGAUUGGACUACAGGCAUGCACCACCAUACCCGGCUAAUUUUAGUAGAGACGGGGGUUUCACCAUGUUGGGCAGGCUUGUCUCGAACGCCUGACCUCGUGACUCCUGACCUGGUGAUCCGCCUGCCUCGGCCUCACGAAGUGUUGGGAUUACAGGCGUGAGCCACUGUGCCAGGCCAAGAGUAGUAAUCUUUUAACCGC